GUUUGUCGCGUUGUUCGUGAAAUCUCACGGCUUAACUGUGAGCGUGCGGGCGAUACGGGCAGACUUGAGUACUGCAGGGGAGACUGGAAUUCCUGGUGUAGCGGUGGAAUGCGCAGAUAUCAGGAGGAACACCGGUGGCGAAGGCGGGUCUCUGGGCAGUAACUGACGCUGAGGAGCGAAAGCGUGGGGAGCGAACAGGAUUAGAUACCCUGGUAGUCCACGCCGUAAACGGUGGGUACUAGGUGUGGGUUUCCUUCCUUGGGAUCCGUGCCGUAGCUAACGCAUUAAGUACCCCGCCUGGGGAGUACGGCCGCAAGGCUAAAACUCAAAGAAAUUGACGGGGGCCCGCACAAGCGGCGGAGCAUGUGGAUUAAUUCGAUGCAACGCGAAGAACCUUACCUGGGUUUGACAUGCACAGGACGCCGGCAGAGAUGUCGGUUCCCUUGUGGCCUGUGUGCAGGUGGUGCAUGGCUGUCGUCAGCUCGUGUCGUGAGAUGUUGGGUUAAGUCCCGCAACGAGCGCAACCCUUGUCUCAUGUUGCCAGCGGGUAAUGCCGGGGACUCGUGAGAGACUGCCGGGGUCAACUCGGAGGAAGGUGGGGAUGACGUCAAGUCAUCAUGCCCCUUAUGUCCAGGGCUUCACACAUGCUACAAUGGCCGGUACAAAGGGCUGCGAUGCCGCGAGGUUAAGCGAAUCCUUUUAAAGCCGGUCUCAGUUCGGAUCGGGGUCUGCAACUCGACCCCGUGAAGUCGGAGUCGCUAGUAA
rnacentral:rRNA from 1 species